ACUGUGGUCUGNAACCCGACCACACGAAGCUGGAAUCGCUAGUAAUCGCGAAUCAGAAAUGUCGCGGUGAAUACGUUCCCGGGUCUUGUACACACCGCCCGUCACACCAUGGGAGUCAGCAACGCCCGAAGUCAGUGACCUAACCGAAAGGGAGGAGCUGCCGAAGGCGGGGCCGGUAACUGGGGUGAAGUCGUAACAAGGUAAC
rnacentral:rRNA from 1 species